UAUAUAUUUAAGGCACGUAACAUGAGGCUUUGAUAUAAGUAUACAUAGUGAAAUGGUUACUAGAGUCAGGUGAAUACACAGAUCUAUCAUUUCACAUAGUAAGCCUGGGAGCUCAGAGAGGGCAGGAGUGGGAGAUUCAUCUUUGCUGCCCAGGGCCAAGCACAGAAGCCCCCAAGUUAGAGACAUUAGUGAUUGUUUGCUAAGAUGAACUGGGACCACUGGCCUCCCAUUUCCCACCCACAGAACUCUGACUCUCCCUUCAAGUCCAGGAUCAGCCAUUCCUUCCUCUGGGAAGACACAGGCAGUAUGGUCCCUCUGUCUUUCAGGCUCUAAAUAUUUCCAUCACUAGCCCAAUCUCAUUAUCUUCCCCUGAACUAUGAAGUGGCCUCUUCUAUAUGGCCUCCCUGCCUCCAGUGCUGCCUCUUCCUUCAUUACGGUCUCCACAGUUUUGCCAGAUAUCUAACUGAUAGGAUGAUCUGUGCAGCAAACCACAGAAGUAUGUGGCACACAUUUACCUCUGUAACAAACCUGCAUGAGAGUUUAUGGAUAAGAACUCAAUACAUGUUAGUUGUUACUUUGUUACUAUUAUUACUAAUACUAUUCUCGUAGAAUGAGAAAAUGUUCACAGAACUCCACUCUCUGAAGCUCAUCAAAUUAAUUAAAAAGGAGCCAAGGCCGGGCACGGUGGCUCAUGCCUGUAAUCCCAGCACUUUGGGAGGCCGAGGCGGGCGGAUCACGAGGUCAGGAGAUCGAGACCAUCCUGACUAACAUGGUGAAACCCCGUCUCUACUAAAAAUACAAAAAAAAAAUUAGCCGGGCGUAGUGGCGGGCGCCUGUAGUCCCAGCUACUUGGGAGGCUGAGGCAGGAGAAUGGCGUGAACCCGGGAGGCGGAGCUUGCAGUGAGCCGAGAUCCCGCCACUGCACUCCAGCCUGGGCGACAGAGCGAGACUCCGUCUCAAAAAAAAAAAAAUACAAAAAAAAAAAAAAUACAAAAAUUAGCUGGGCAUGGUGGCAUGCACCUGUAGUCCCAGGUACUCGGGAGGCUGAGGAAGGAGAAUCACUCAAACCCAGGAGGCGGUGGUUGCAGUGAGCUAAGAUCAUGCCUCUGCACUCCAGCCUGGUGACAGAGCAAGACUGCAUCUCAAAAAAAAAAAAAAAAAAAAAAAACAGGAGCCCAAAAUACAGAUGGAGAUUUCAGUGAAGAACCUAGACAACAUCUAUGGACUCAGCCACAUGCUAGCUCAUGGGAGGUGGACCAAACCAAAGAGAGAUGCCUGGAAGCCAUGUAGUUUGAUGGACAAGAGCCUGGGCUCUGGAAUCCACUUGGCUGAAUUCAAUUCCUGGAUCUGCCACUUAUUAGGUUGAAACGUUAGGUGAAUCAUUUAACCUCCAGAUAUAGUGUGGCUAUUUGUCCUCCCAAUUUUAAUGUUGUAUUGUAAUCCCCAAUGGAGGUGGGGCCUGGUAGGAGGUAUUUGGGUCAUGGAGGCUAUGAUGGUUAAUACUGAGUAUCAACUUGAUCGGAUUAAAGGAUGCAAAGUAUUGUUCCUGGGUGUGUUUGUGAGGGUAUUGCCAAAGGAGAUUAACGUCAGAAUCGGUGGACUGGGAGAGCCAGACAAACAUCAAACUCCAAGUUCUUCAGCUUUUGGACUCUUGAACUUGUCACUUGAACCAGUGACUUGCCAGGGGCUCUCAGGCCUUCAGCCCUGUGGCUAAAACCUACUUUUGAGGUUUUAGGACUCGGACUGGCUUCCUUGCUCUUCAGCUUACAGACGGCCUAUAGUGGGAUUUCACCUUGUGAUGGUGUGAGUCAAUACUCAUUAACAAACUCCCCUUCAUAUAUACAUCAAUCCUAUUAGUUCUGUCCCUCUAGAGAACCCUGACUAACACUGAGGUGGAUCCCUCCUGGCUUGGUGCUAUUCUCAGGGUAGUGAGUUCUUGUGAGAUCUGGUUGUUUAAAAGUGUGUGGCACCUGCCCCUCUAUUGUUCCCACUCUUGCCAUAUGAUGUGCCUGCUUCCCCUUUGCCCUCCAACAUGACUGUAAGCUUUCUGAGGCCUCCCCAAAAGCCGAGGAGAUGCCAGCAUCAUGCUUUCCUAUAAAGCCUGCAGAACUGUGAGCCAAUUAAACCUCUCUUCUAUAUAAAUUACCCAACCUCAGUUAUUUCUUUAUAGGAAUGCAAGAAUGGCCUAACACACUCCAUGAGCCUUUAUUUCCUCAGCUGUAAAAUGAGGAUGAUAAUAAUCCCUAACUCAAAGAGUUGUGAAGAUCAAAUGAAGUACGUAAGGUGCUUAGCCCAGAGCCUCGCCCAUGGUAACUGUACUAGACUCUCCAUUUCUUAUAUGCUUUUACUGCUGCUGCUGAGGUUGGUGUUAUCUCUAGAGUCUUAGAAAAGGUGUUUGAUAAAUACUUGCUGGAAUCAUGGAAGG
rnacentral:lncRNA from 1 species